GAUGAACGCUGGCGGCGUGCCUAAUACAUGCAAGUCGAGCGAACGGACGAGAAGCUUGCUUCUCUGAUGUUAGCGGCGGACGGGUGAGUAACACGUGGAUAACCUACCUAUAAGACUGGGAUAACUUCGGGAAACCGUAGCUAAUACCGGAUAAUAUUUUGAACCGCGUGGUUCAAAAGUGAAAGACGGUCUUGCUGUCACUUAUAGAUGGAUCCGCGCUGCAUUAGCUAGUUGGUAAGGUAACGGCUUACCAAGGCAACGAUGCAUAGCCGACCUGAGAGGGUGAGCGGCCACACGGGAACUGAGCCGGGGUCCAGACUCCUAGGGGAGGAACCAGUAGGGAAUCUUCGGCAGGGGGAGAAAGCCUGACGGAGCAGCGCCGGGGGAGGGGAGGAGGUCUUGGGAUCGGAAAACUUGUUUAUGGGGGAAAAACAUAUGUGAAAGUAAAUGUGCACAUCUGGACGGUACCUAAUCAGAAGGCCCCGGCUAACUACGUG
rnacentral:rRNA from 1 species